rnacentral:lncRNA from 7 species
CAGAAACCUCGGCUGUAUUGGAGUUGAUUGGGAUUUGACAUUGGUUUCUGUUACUGGGAGGCAGUUUGUACCUUCUUUGGGACAGUGCAGCUGGUUGUAUUCUCCAGGAUGUGGGGUACCCUGUAUAUGGCACUCUGUGUGAGAAGCUGUCCUAUAGAGAAGAUAGGAGGAGUGAGAAUUCAGGCUUCACAGAGGCUUCUCCUGUGGUUGUGUUGAGGGGAGCCCCUCGCCUGGCUCUGCUGCGUUGGAGCAGUGACACUGCUGGCCUGGCACCUGCCUGCCUGCUGGUGAUCACCUGCUGGAACUGCCUUACUGCAGAGGAGCGUGAAGGACCUGCUGUAUGGGAAGUUUUCAUCUGCUUCAUUGGAGACGCACUUGGGCCCUCAGAACACCUACUAGGCAUGUUGGCAGUUCUUCAGCAGAAAUAACUUCACCUGGUGGCAUCUGUGUACUUCUCUCUACAAGCCCGAACUCAGGGAUCUGCUGACGUGAACCUUGGACCUGUUAAUGUUGAGUACAACCUAAGGUGUGACCAUUUCUCAGCCCAGAGGUGAUGGAAGUUGGCCCCCCCUCCAUCCGCAAGCUCCCUUUUCCCGGCCCUACCCUACUAAAAACAAUGCUUUGAACCUUUCCUGUGUGCCCGGGGUUAAAUCUGCUCAGGAGUUUAUUUGAUUAAUGCAAAGGGUGGCUCGGGAACAUGAGAUAGUCAGAUAUAAGACAAGAUUAUACUGCUUGCACUCUGGGUUCUCAUAAAAUGCUCCUAAACCCUUGUGAAGAACCUAAGGAUGGCUUAUGUCAUCAUCUCACUGAAGAUUUCCUACCUUGCUUUGGUCAGAAUUGAUGUUUCUUUUAUCCCUUUAAAGAUAAAAUAAUGCCACUCAGUAACUGUGGC